GUGCUUGCUUCGGCAGCACAUAUACUAAAAUUGGAAGGAUACAGAGAAGAUUGGCAUGGCCCCUCUGCAAGGAUGACACGCAAAUUCGUGAAGCGUUCCUUUUUUAA
rnacentral:snRNA from 1 species